rnacentral:lncRNA from 1 species
AAGUAUUUAAAAUAAAAUAAAAUUAAAAUUGAAUUAAAUUAAAAAUAUAAAUACAAAAUAUAAAAAUGUAUAAAAUACUAAUAAUAUUAAAACGAAAUAACAUAAAAAUACGAGCAUUAAAAUAAAAAUAAAUAAAUAAAAUUACCGAAAAUAUCCAAAACACGAGCUUGGCCGAACGGGUUACACAAAUUAAAACCUUUUUUUUUUCUUUUUUUUUCCUUCUUCUUUCUUCCCUUUUUCUUCUUUUUUCUCUCUUUUUCUUUUUUUUUUCUGGACUGGGCUGGGCAGGUUGUUGGGCCUGCAGCUGGAACGGGCCCGUUGUGGCCCCUUUUUUUCUACUUUGGGCCUGCUCUUUUUUUUAUUUGGGCUGUUUUGAUUUUUUUUUUUUUGUAUUGCUUUUUCUUUUUUUUUCUUUUGCUUAAUUUCUUUUUUUUUUUGGGCUUUUGGGUUUGGGUUGUGGGUUGCGGGUCGGGUCGGGUCACCGGAUCGGGUCGUGGGUUGGGUCGAGUCGGCCGGUUCAGGUCGGGUCAGCCCGAUUUUUUAAAAAAUAUAUUUUCUUUUUCUUUUUUUUUCUUCUUUCUUCUUUCUUCUUCUUCUUCUUCCUUGAACCUUAGUUGUGUCGCCGCCACUCGCAGCCGUUCGUGCCGCUCGUCUCCGUCGGUGAUGCUCCGACCAACCUCCCUUCUCCUUUCUUCCUUUUUUUUUUC